GUUAGGGAUAAAUUGUUUACAAAUUUCAUUUUUUUCCUUAUUUUUGUUUGCUAUAUCUUAACCUCGAAGAAUCCAAAUAAAAUCCACCUCUCUCUCUCUCUAAGAUCUACCCCUCUCUCUCUCCGUGUGUAAAAAUACCCCAUGCCGCUCUGUUCAUUUAACGGCGACUAAAUGGAGGGAAAAUGGUCGGAAUUCCUUUUUCCGGCGUCUCUUACAACCAGCGGUCGCCCCGUUCUACAACCAGGCGAGGUCGAAUGCUCAACCCUAGACUCAGUCGAUCUCGAGCUCGUUCAAAGCCCUGACCCUAACACUAAUUUCCCGACUCUGAGAUCGGGCUUACUCAUCCUCACCACUUUCAGGUUCCUGUUUAUUGACCAGAACUCUAGGGUUUCUUUCUCGAUCCCUCUUUCUGUAGUUUCUCAUGUUUCUGGCCCUAAGAAGUCUAUCAAGAGCAUGUUCCAUAGCCCAAGAAUCAGGGUCAGGGUUUCGGUCUCAAACGAUGGCAGGGUUGCAGAGAAAGGCCAGAGAUUUGCAGAGAUUGUUUGCGUUCUGAGGGGGAAGAGUGAUCCUGAUUCGUUUGUUGGGAGGUUAUGGGAGGUUUUGAGGUCGAGGCCAUGGGAGAGCUUGGUGGGGUCAGAAGAUAAGAGAGAGAGUGAGGUGGGGAGAGUUGCAGAGAGCUCGAGUGUUUGGAGGCCUGCAAUGGCUGGGGUCUCAGGAAUUCUUAGAAAGGAGCAGGAGCAGUGGGAGAGCACUGAUAAGAGCUUGCAGGAUGCUUUCCAGGAUUUGAACGCUUUAAUGAGUAAAGCUAAAGAGAUGGUGACGUUAGCGGAGAAGAUGAGGUUGAAGCUUUUAGCUGGGCCGAAUUCGCAAAACACUGGAGCAAACGAGGAGGAGAUGGGUUCUAAGCAAGAGAUGCAGGAUUGGCUUCUCAGUGUUGGGAUUGUAUCCCCUGUAACAAAAGAGACAGCUGGUGCUCAAUAUCAUCAGCAACUGUGCCGCCAGCUUGCAGAUUUUGUUAAGAUACCCUUGGAGAGAGCUGGGGGAAUGAUGGCAUUGAUAGAUGUUUAUUGUCUUUUUAAUCGUGCCAGAGGAACUGAGUUGAUUGCGCCAGAAGAUUUAUUACAAGCAUGUGCUAUUUGGGAGAAGUUUGACGUGUAUGCAAAACAGACCUUUCAAUCUCUUUCAGUCCGGUGUUGCUUAGAAAGUUUGACAGUGGAGUCAUGGUUGUCCAAAGCAAGGCACAUAGCGAUGAGGAGGUCUUUGCAAGAAUAAGAUCCCUUGCGUUAAAACCAGAAGCCCUCAGGACGGGUAUAAGUCCAAGUGAUGCUGCAAGGACAUUAGGGGUUGCACCGGCCCUCGCCAAAGAGCACCUUCUUGCAGCUGAAAACAAAGGUCUGCUAUGCAGAGACAUUGCCCCAGAGGGUCUCCGUUUCUACUUGAAUUUGUUUAUUGAAGUUAAUCCAAGCAACAUGUACAUGGAUCAACAUGGUGGUCUCUUGGGCACUUGGGUUUCAAUAAUUUCUAGUCAGGGCUAGCUAUCAUUAUUGUGCUUAUUCUUCAUUGGUGACACUUGGGGAGUUUGAUGCAGCUUUUUGGAGUAAGUUGUGGGGGAAAUUCAUGUAACACAAUUGUGUUGAGGACUAGCAGCAUUUCUCAUGCAUAAUAAUGAUUUAUUUAUGGGAGAGCUGAGAACCCUAUGUAUUUAGAUUUGCAGCACACCCCCUUUCCCCAAAGUGGAUUUUUUAUCCGAGUUGUGCACUGGUUUGCUAAUCAGGAUCAUUGUAUACGUGAUUUUAACUUGUUUGUUGCUCGUUGAAAACCUCUAAAAAUGAAUCUGGUGAUUUGAGGGUUGCGCCUUCUUAAUGGGUAAUUUUUAUUUUUGCCAA